rnacentral:misc_RNA from 1 species
GAUGAAGAACGUAGCGAAAUGCGAUAAGUAGUGUGAAUUACAGAAUUCAGUGAAUCAUCGAAUCUUUGAACGCACAUUGCGCCCCUUGGUAUCCCGAGGGGCAUGCCUGUUCGAGCGUCAUUUCACCACUCAAGCCUGGCUUGGUGUUGGGCGACGUCCUCUUUGGGGACGCGCCUCGAAACGCUCGGCGGCGUGGCACCGGCUUUAAGCGUAGCAGAAUCUUUCGCUUUGGAAGUCGGGGCCCCGUCUGCCGGAAGACCUGCUCGCAAGGUUGACCUCGGAUCAGGCAGGGAUACCCGCUGAACUUAAGCAUAUCAAUAAGCGGAGGA